CCUACGGGCGGCAGCAGUGGGGAAUAUUGCACAAUGGGGGAAACCCUGAUGCAGCGACGCCGCGUGCGUGAAGACGUAAUUCGUAAUGUAAAGCUCUAUCAGCAGGGAGGAAAAUGACGGUACCUGAGUCAGAAGCCCCGGCUAACUACGUGCCAGCAGCCGCGGUAAUACGGAGGAGGCAAGCGUUAUCCGGAUUUACUGGGUGUAAAGGGAGCGUAGACGGCAUUGCAAGUCUGGAGUGAAAGGCGGGGGCUCAACCCCCGGACUGCUCCGGAAACUGUACGGCUGGAGUGAAGGAGAGGUAGGUGGAAUGUCUAGUGUAGCGGUGAAAUGCGUAGAGAUUAGGCGGAACACCAGUGGCGAAGGCGGCUUACUGGACUGUAACUGACGUUGAGGCUCGAAAGCGUGGGUAGCAAACAGGAUUAGAUACCCCAGUAGUC
rnacentral:rRNA from 1 species